rnacentral:tRNA from 1 species
UCGUGGGCCACGGCGUGGAGCGGAACGGGCUCAUGGCGCUCGCGAGGCAACUCGACGCCCCCGUGGAGUUCCACCCUCCGGUCCACGGUCCA